GAUGAAGAACGUAGCAAAAUGCGAUAAGUAAUGUGAAUUGCAGAAUUCAGUGAAUCAUCGAAUCUUUGAACGCACAUUGCGCCCCUUGGUAUUCCGGGGGGCAUGCCUGUUCGAGCGUCAUUAUAACCCCUCAAGCUCAGCUUGGUGUUGGGGCCUGCCGACUGGCAGCCCUUAAAAUCAGUGGCGGCGCCAUCUGGCUCUAAGCGUAGUAAUUUCUCUCGCUAUAGAGUCCCGGUGGAUGCUUGCCAGCAACCCCCAACUUUCUAUGGUUGACCUCGGAUCAGGUAGGGAUACCCGCUGAACUUAAGCAUAUCAAUAAGCGGAGGA
rnacentral:misc_RNA from 1 species